AUUUAGUGCAAACGCCAUUUGGACUCAAACCCGGAAGUAUUUCCAUGCAAACAAAUAGGAGGUAAUCCUUGGUAAGACAUAAUCUGGUCGGUGGGUGGGGUAUGCUGGAGCCUAUCCCAGCUGGAUAGAGGCAGCCCCCAGAGGCAGGGAACUCCCAGACUGGUCGCCAGCCAAUCGCAGCUUUUCCUAUCUAUGGAAGGACGGUAGUGACGAGCACCUUUCAGCUCAAGCACGCCUUCACCCCUUCAGGAUGACACAGACACCUUUAGUUGCCUCUAAUCCAGACGACAACGGCAGGAGGAUCCAUGUCCUGUCAAACAUAAUCCAGAUGGAUUACGGCGAUCUGAGCGGAGGGAGGAAGAACUUCAGGGGCGUGAAGGUCUGCACUUUGGACUCCUGCGCCGUGGAGGGCGGUAGAGAGUGGUUUAUGGGCUUUGAUGUCAUUGUUGCUCGUUGCCUCCACCAAACGCAGUGUUCAAAACAGUGGUGAAAAGUCCCGAAUAGAUUUGGAUGAAGCUUUCAGCAUUUUUUGGAAGUGGGAUAUUGAAGAACUGAUCAUAUUUUUGGGGUGAUCCAUAUCACUGCCUAGAUUCAGGAAUUCUUUAAAAGAUUCUUUAACAUUAUGAGAUGGGACCAGUUUUGGCAUUUGUACAUAUAACUCCACAAUAUGACUGAGUCACAAUAUGGGGGGGGGGGGACUAUGGCGCUUGACGGACACAACUUCAUUGUUUGCAAAUAUCAAAGCAUGAUGUAGACUGUAAACGGUAGGUGUAAAUAAGUUGUGCAGUAGCAGCAUUUUGUGCCAAUGUACACUUUUUCAGUCAUGAAUUGUGUGUUAAGUUUUGAAGUAAUGCAUUAACAGAACACAACAUACCAUGUAAGUUAGUGAUUCUCAGCAGGUUUGGCUGUGGGACCGACUAUUGCCCCUUUCAAUCCCAGCCAUAAAAAAACCAAAAAAAAAAGUACUGGCCAUUUUAGACGAUAUUUAGAUAAAAGAAACAUUCAUCAGAAAAAAAUUUGUUUCUACCUUUUUUCGUACUUUAGUAAUCAGCAGUAGAACAUAGGUACGUUUCAGGAAAAUAUCAGUUCCUGACUAAAACAGAGAAAACACACUUUUUUUUCGUACUUUAGUAAUCAGCAGUAGAACAUAGGUACGUUUCAGGAAAAUAUCAGUUCCUGACUAAAACAGAGAAAACACACUUUUUUUCGUACUUUAGUAAUCAGCAGUAGAACAUAGGUACGUUUCAGGAAAAUAUCAGUUCCUGACUAAAACAGAGAAAACACACUUUUUGACACCACUACAAGGUACACUUCCUGUCC